UACGUAGGGGGCAAGCGUUGUCCGGAUUUAUUGGGCGUAAAGAGCGUGUAGGUGGUUUGGUAGGUCCGUUGUGAAAACUCGAGGCUCAACCUCGAGACGCCGGCGGAAACCAUCAGGCUAGAGUCCGGAAGAGGAGAGUGGAAUUCCUGGUGUAGCGGUGAAAUGCGCAGAUAUCAGGAAGAACACCCGUGGCUAAGGCGGCUCUCUAGUACGGUACUGACGCUGAGACGCGAAAGCGUGGGGAGCGAACAGG
rnacentral:rRNA from 1 species